rnacentral:misc_RNA from 1 species
UUAUUAGGUUAUAACAAGACUACGUUUGUUACAUUAAUUGUUCGUUAAAAAGGGCAGACGAUGACUUGGCGAACCCAGUCUUGCGCCUUACAGCUCACCGCUGCUGGGAUGUGAGAUAAGCAAGGCCCUUGCCGAAGCGAAGACACCAAGCAUGUUUAAUUCACUAAUGAUCCUAA